rnacentral:lncRNA from 1 species
CAAUUCUUAGUAAAGUAUUAACAACUAUUGAUGGGAGACACAUUCUAAGUGAUGCUCCAUUGAAACUAGCAGAAGUUAACAGCACUGUUGAAAUUACAAUGUUACCGUACUCUCAGGUUAAAUAUUAACAUUUAUUUAUUUAUUUAUUAGGAGUGGCAGGCGUCUUUACAGAAAACAUUUGCUAACUAUUUCACGUCAUUAAUCACAGAAAGACGUCAUGUUACUCACAUCUCUGAAUCUUUCAUUCAUAGUCCGGCAAUGAAUGUAUCACAAAGUAUCAAAUCAAAUAUCAACUAUAGUUUAUUCACUAAAUAUGAAGAGUAGCAGACAUCUUUACAGAAAGCAGUUGCUAAAUAUUUCACAUCAUUGAUCACAGAAAGACGUCACAUUACUCACAUCUCUGAAUCUUUCAUUCAUAGUCCGGCAAUGAAUGUAUCAUUAAGUAUCAAAUCAAAUCAAUCAAGAAAUAUCAACUAAUUUAUUCACAGAAUAUGAAGAGUGGUUAUCAUUAUUCAUUAGUGAUAUUAUUACAUAUGUGUAAGUUGAUCGUAAGAUGAAGAAAGCUGGAUUUCUAAGAUACACACAAAUUAACAGCAGAAGCAUUGUGGAGAAAAGUCAUUCUCAGGAUUCUGGUGUACUGGUUGAACUGUGUGGACAUAUUUAAAUAUUUGUAUCAUCUCUUUUAUAAACAU